rnacentral:rRNA from 1 species
UGGGGAAUCUUGCGCAAUGGGCGAAAGCCUGACGCAGCCAUGCCGCGUGAAUGAUGAAGGUCUUAGGAUUGUAAAAUUCUUUCACCGGGGACGAUAAUGACGGUACCCGGAGAAGAAGCCCCGGCUAACUUCGUGCCAGCAGCCGCGGUAAUACGAAGGGGGCUAGCGUUGCUCGGAAUUACUGGGCGUAAAGGGAGCGUAGGCGGACAUUUAAGUCAGGGGUGAAAUCCCGGGGCUCAACCUCGGAAUUGCCUUUGAUACUGGGUGUCUUGAGUGUGAGAGAGGUAUGUGGAACUCCGAGUGUAGAGGUGAAAUUCGUAGAUAUUCGGAAGAACACCAGUGGCGAAGGCGACAUACUGGCUCAUUACUGACGCUGAGGCUCGAGAGCGUGGGGAGCAAACA